ensembl:lncRNA
UCCCCUCUUUCCCCCAUCCUCUCUCUCUCCCUCCCCUCCCUCCCCUCUACCUUUGAGGAGGUGCAGAGAUCGUUGCUGCUGGAGAAGUUUACAACAGUGCAGGCUGCUCUCGGCUCCCCUCUCAUGACUCCAGUGGUGGUCCUCUCCUCCCCUCAGGACUCCAGUGGUGGUCCUCUCCUCCCCUCAGGACUCCAGUGGUGGACCUCUCCUCCCCUCGGGACUCCAGUGGUAGACCUCUCCUCCUCUCAGGACUACAGUGGUGGACCUCUCCUCCCCUCGGGACUCCAGUGGUGGAACUCUCCUCCCCUCGGGACUCCAGUGGUGGACCUCUCCUCCCCUCGGGACUCCAGUGGUGGACCUCUCCUCCCCUCAGGACUCCAGUGGUGGACCUCUCCUCCCCUCAGGACUGCAGUGGUGGACCUCUCCUCCCCUCAGGACUCCAGUGGUGGACCUCUCCUCCCCUCGGGACUACAGUGGUGGACCUCUCCUCCCCUCAGGACUGCAGUGGUGGACCUCUCCUCCCCUCAGGACUCCAGUGGUGGACCUCUCCUCCUCUCAGGACUCCAGUGGUGGACCUCUCCUCCCCUCAGGACUCCAGUGGUGGACCUCUCCUCCCCACACCCAGUCCCCCUGUCCCUGUCUCUGGGUGGGGUACGUCACCAUGGACCUCACUGAGAAACACAUGUUGGACCUCUUCAAAACGGGGUGGAGCUGGAGAGCACCAGACUGGUGAUUAGGUACCCAGACCGCUAGGUCCUCUCCUCAGACCUCAACACCUCCUCAGCCUCCCAGUACGCCGCCACAGGGUAAGGACAUCCGACUAUGUCAAAACAUCAACUAUAAUUUAUAAACAUAUUUAAGCAUUUAUAAUGUUUUAUUCUAAAUUGUUACUAAUCUAUGGGCCAUGAAUUGUACAAAAUUACAGACAACUGACAGAAGGUGGGGACGGGAUUGUGUUUUCAUACUGUUUGUGUCUCUCUCCCAAGCCCAGGAGGAUGGCUCCCAUCAAUCGUGAUGAGUGUUUCUUCUGGAGGACCACUGGCUGUCUCUAUGGUGACAAAUGUCGCAUCAAACACAAGCCUGACCAUAGAGGAAGAGACAGGAAACCAUGGCAACCCUGACCACCCUGACCACCCAGACUAACCUGAACACCCUGAACAUCACGCACCGUCCGGAUAUAACAGAGGGAGGAAGAAGAGGAGGAAGAGGAAGAACAGAAUAAUGAAAAUGAAGAUUGAGGAAGAGGGACCGUGUACCUACUUUAAAAGGGAACAGGAAGCUUGGAUAGAAUGGGGGUGUUGGGUGGUAUCACCACUUUUGUAGUCCUCUGACACACAGAACACUGGACGUACAGUAUGAGUGUGUGAAGUGUCAAUCAAAGUGAAGAGCAGUGCUCCUCUGAUUUCCUUUCCCCUCUCCCUCGGCCUGAGCUGUUUUUGAAUUGAAUUACAAUUGAAUAUAGGGCAUGUUCCAGGCAGACUAUAUUGCAGUCGCCUGCCAGAUCUCACAAUGCCUGGAUAGGUGUUUGUGUUUAAGAUAUCAGUUAACCCGUGAUUCCCGACUGCGCAAUCGAUAAUGUGGCACACAACCAUUGGUUGGUGCGCACAGAUUGACUGCAAUGUAGUCAGCCUGGAACGCCCCCAGUGUCCAUGUGGUGUUCUAACAUCCACACUAGACCACCUAAACUGAAACAAGUAGUGUGCUACUGUGGAUAUUAGAACGAGGCCCAUAUCUUCAGUUCAGUGAAUUUAUACUGUAUAUGUAUGUUCAGUGGACUAAUAAUGUAUGUUCAUUGGACUAAUACAUUUAUGUUCAGUGGACUAAUACAUGUCUGUUCAGUGGACUAAUACAUGUCUGUUCAGUGGACUAAUACAUGUAUGUUCAGUGGACUAAUACAUGUAUGUUCAGUGGACUAAUACAUGUAUGUUCAGUGGACUAAUACAUGUAUGUUCAGUGGACUAAUACAUGUCUGUUCAUUGGACUAAUACAUGUCUGUUCAGUGGACUAAUACAUGUCUGUUCAGUGGACUAAUACAUGUCUGUUCAGUGGACUAAUACAUGUCUGUUCAGUGGACUAAUACAUGUCUGUUCAGUGGACUAAUACAUGUAUGUUCAGUGGACUAAUACAUGUCUGUUCAGUGGACUAAUACAUGUCUGUUCAGUGGACUAAUACAUGUCUGUUCAGUGGACUAAUACAUGUCUGUUCAGUGGACUAAUACAUGUCUGUUCAGUGGACUAAUACAUGUCUGUUCAGUGGACUAAUACAUGUAUAUUCAGUGGACUAAUACAUGUCUGUUCAGUGGACUAAUACAUGUAUGUUCAGUGGACUAAUACAUGUAUGUUAAGUGGACUAAUACAUGCAUGUUAAGUGGACUAAUACAAUUGAAGUUGACUAAAGUGACAAUAUGAGGAGCACAGAAUGACUGAGAGCAUCAAUGUAAAAUGACAAUCUGUCUGUAUCGUCUCAGCAUGUGGGGGAGCUGG